AGAGAGAGAGAGAGCAUAAUCCCUAAAGGGUAAGACUUUGGAAUUCCAGUCUAUUUUUUGAUUUUUGGUUUUCUUGAACAGUGGGAACUACUAAAGGAAAGUAUGAAUCGAUGUGGGUAGUGGAAAAAGAGGAUUGAAACGGUGAGACGAGCCUCGAACCUGAAAAUAUGGGGAGGAGGGAGUGGCUGAAAAAGAAUGUUAAGGAGGAGGAAUAUGUGGUUAUGAAGGCAGAGGUUGACGUGUUGGAGGUGAUGAUGAGGAGAAGGAACAUGGAGACAGACCUGAGAGGAUAUGUAUCAAACCAUGCGUUUUUUUCUUUACAUUAUCUUCUUUUUUCUUCUUUUUUGUUGUCCGAAUUGUUUUAAUCAUCUUAUGCUCAUUCUGUUUUGUUGUGGUGUUGCAGUUUCGGGGUUCUAAUAAGCUUAAUUAAUUAUGUUAAGUAAUUCUUCAUUGUUUAGGUUCUAGGUUCUAACGGUAUUUUUGUUGUUGAAUUGACUAGAUGUUACUAGCAUCAUGUUAGUUGUUCUCACGAGGUUUUGACUGCAUUCAAGAAAAAGCUCAAGUUUUCUGAUAA